rnacentral:rRNA from 1 species
UACGUAGGGUGCAAGCGUUAAUCGGAAUUACUGGGCGUAAAGCGUGCGCAGGCGGUUAUGUAAGACAGAUGUGAAAUGCCCGGGCUUAACCUGGGAACUGCAUUUGUGACUGCAUGGCUAGAGUUUGGCAGAGGGGGGUAGAAUUCCACGUGUAGCAGUGAAAUGCGUAGAUAUGUGGAGGAACACCGAUGGCGAAGGCAGCCCCCUGGGUCAAGACUGAC